rnacentral:rRNA from 1 species
UACACUCCUGCGGGAGGCAGCAGUGGGGAAUAUUGCACAAUGGGCGCAAGCCUGAUGCAGCCAUGCCGCGUGUAUGAAGAAGGCCUUCGGGUUGUAAAGUACUUUCAGCGGGGAGGAAGGCGAUAAGGUUAAUAACCUUGUCGAUUGACGUUACCCGCAGAAGAAGCACCGGCUAACUCCGUGCCAGCAGCCGCGGUAAUACGGAGGGUGCAAGCGUUACUCGGAAUUACUGGGCGUAAAGCGCACGCAGGCGGUCUGUCAAGUCGGAUGUGAAAUCCCCGGGCUCAACCUGGGAACUGCAUUCGAAACUGGCAGGCUAGAGUCUUGUAGAGGGGGGUAGAAUUCCAGGUGUAGCGGUGAAAUGCGUAGAGAUCUGGAGGAAUACCGGUGGCGAAGGCGGCCCCCUGGACAAAGACUGACGCUCAGGUGCGAAAGCGUGGGGAGCAAACAGGAUUAGAAACCCCAGUAGUCCCAUG